GAUGAGCGCUGGCGGCGUGCCUAAUACAUGCAAGUCGAACGCUUCACUUCGGUGAAGAGUGGCGAACGGGUGAGUAAUACAUAAGUAACCUGGCAUCUACAGGGGGAUAACUGAUGGAAACGUCAGCUAAGACCGCAUAGGUGUAGAGAUCGCAUGAACUCUAUAUGAAAAGUGCUACGGGACUGGUAGAUGAUGGACUUAUGGCGCAUUAGCUUGUUGGUAGGGUAACGGCCUACCAAGGCGACGAUGCGUAGCCGACCUGAGAGGGUGACCGGCCACACUGGGACUGAGACACGGCCCAGACUCCUACGGGAGGCAGCAGUAGGGAAUUUUCGGCAAUGGGGGAAACCCUGACCGAGCAACGCCGCGUGAAGGAAGAAGUAAUUCGUUAUGUAAACUUCUGUCAUAGAGGAAGAACGGUGGAUAUAGGGAAUGAUAUCCAAGUGACGGUACUCUAUAAGA
rnacentral:rRNA from 1 species